rnacentral:lncRNA from 1 species
UCGUUGUGUAUUUAUUUUUGAUUGAAAAAUAUAUAUUCCGCUAAAGAUAAAAAUGUUCUAUCAAUUCAUUCGUUUAUUUCCGUAUGUAAAAUAUAUUUCCGGUAGUAGUCGGAAACAUUCGUGUAUAUCCGAAUGUAUUAUCAUUUCCGGUAAUAGUGGGAAACAUUUGUUUAUUUCCGAAUGUAAAGUCAUUUCCGGAAUCGUUCGUUAAUAUCCUUUUUUUCAUUCCGGAAUCAUUAGGUUGCUUCAAUAUUUUACUUCAUUUGUUGCAUUUUAUUGUGUACUUGGUUCUUAAUGUUUUAGUUUCUUUUUUCUGGUUAUGUAUGUAGAUUCUUUUUUACUUUCUGGUGAUGUAUUUUAAUUCUUUUAUUCUUUCUGGUGAUGCAGUUUGAUUCUUAAAGAUUAAUUAAGAUUUUCAAUAAACUCUGGGUGGUGUUUAAAGUUGUAUUCAAAUAUAACCGUUUUUCAGAAGCCAUAUUUCUACUGGACACCGAGAUAAGCCUUCAUGAUGAAGUUUAUCAACCCAGUUCCUUAUCAAAUUUGCAGUCUUUUGGGGAUCUCUUCGUGAUUGUCUGAUCUUUCCUAUUAAUUCUCUUUCUCUUAAAAAGUGUAUACAUACAUUUUGGAGAUUAAUACUGUUUAUUCUUAUGGAAAUACUGAAGAGUUAUGCUGUAUUGUAAACGUUUUCCUUAGUUUAUAAACUUUUUGCAAUCAGAUUAUACGUUUACAAGAUGAGACUUCAGGAUGUAAUCUUAGAUAGGUCAACGUGUAUGCCACGUUUACAAGAUCAUUCGUAGGAGGGUAGGGGAAUUAAAAACAUUUCGUUAAGGAUGUUAAGUAAGAGAUUGAUUGUGAUUGUUGACUAAACGUCCAGUGGCAAAUAUUUCAUGCAUGAACAAGUUAACAAAACAUACAAAAUGUACGUCUAGUCUAUUAGAGGUCAUUCGGGAUGCUGGUCGGGGAAAUUUGAAAUGUCACUGGAAAAUAAG